rnacentral:rRNA from 1 species
GACGAACGCUGGCGGCGCGCUUAACACAUGCAAGUCGAGCGAUGAAAUUUCGACAGAUCCCUUCGGGGUGAAGAUGAAAUGGAUUAGCGGCGGACGGGUGAGUAACACGUGAGUAACCUGCCUUUGACAUUGGGAUAGCCUCGGGAAACUGGGAUUAAUACCAAAUGACACUAACUGAUCACAUGAUCAAUUAGUCAAAGAAAUUCGGUCAAAGAUGGACUCGCGGCUGAUUAGCUAGUUGGUGAGGUAACGGCCCACCAAGGCGACGAUCAGUAGCCGGCCUGAGAGGGGGAUCGGCCACAUUGGAACUGAGACACGGUCCAAACUCCUACGGGAGGCAGCAGUGGGGAAUAUUGCACAAUGGGGGAAACCCUGAUGCAGCGACGCCGCGUGAGCGAAGAAGGCCUUCGGGUCGUAAAGCUCUUUUAUGAGGGAAGAUAAUGACGGUACCUCAAGAAAAAGCCCCGGCUAACUACGU